CUUCUUAUUCUGGCUUCUUCCCCUUCCUUUUCAGUCCUGAUGAAGGGCCUUGGCCCAAAAUGUCAAUUGUGUGUUCCCUUCUAUACAAACUGCCUGACCUGAUGAGUUCCUCUCGCAUUUUGUGUGUUGUUCAUUUUGAAAAUCCUCAACCACUUCCUUUAGCAGCUUAUUCCAUACACUUAACAGCCUCUGUGUGACGCUGCCCCUCAGUUUCCUGUUAAACCUUAAACCUAUGCCCUCUAGUUUAAGAUCCCACAACUCUGGGAAUUGCUCUGUCUACAGUAGUUUUAUGCACCUCUCUAAGAUCACCUCUCAUUCUCCAGUGCUCCGAGGAGUGAAGUCCCUACCUCUCCCUGUAACUCAGUCCCUUGAGCAUUGGCAGAACACUCAGAAAUCUCCUCUGCACUCUUUCCGGUUAAUGACAUCUUUCCACAACCUGUUCAGAGUGCUCUCUGUCCCUCAAAUCAUGCAGCCCCACAGCCUCUGAUAUCUCCGCCUGAACCCAUCAUCCCUGCACUGGACUGUGGUCUGACUCCAGCAUUCCAUCGCGAGUACCUCAACCCCACAGCCUCUUCCACAACAUUCAACACACAUCGCUUGAAACCAAAUCUCUCUGGCCAGGCUGCCUGCAUACUCAUCCAAGGCUCAGGAUCAGAUUUCCCUCUACUCCCUAGAAUCUUGGCAUGUAUUACCAUGUGAAGGCUGCCAUAUAAAUGCAAGCUGUUGCGGUCUCCUUUGUCCCUGAUAGCCAGUUUUCUUUCAUCGGUCGCCACCAACAGCACGAAUGGCCCUGGGAUCUAUGUGUGCACAAGAUGGUCGCCAUAUUCUCCCACAUAUCAGGGGGAGCAGCAUUUCAGAGGACCCUCCAACGGAAGCGACUGAACACAGCAGCCUCCUGGAGAAGAGCGACUCGAACCCAGCGGCCUUUUCUAAGAAGAGCAAAUUGAACCCAGGGGUCCUGCCAAGACUCCGAGGAGAGCGACUGCUCGCCUACCUCGGCAUUUGCCUCGCUUUAAUUGAGCAGCUGUACAUCAAAAGACACUGUGAUCUAUAAGCCAGGAUGCACAUACAGUCAGGAAGGCUCCAAGUCUUCGUUAAUCUCCUGGAGGAGAUGACUCAGCAGCAUGCUGUCCAAGGGGUUGAGUACUGGAAGGAUUUACUGACCACAGAUUGCAGCUCAUGUUGUGAGUCUGCAAUGUUCUGGAUUUUCCAUGACAAACAUCAGAGCCCAUUGUUGCAGGCUCCUGGAAAGAACCUUCUGCGGUAAGCUGCACUGUUGAGUGUCCGAGUUGAUUUCUGGCUCAUGCAGCAGUCUGUGUUGCGGUGCCUUUGUUUUUUUUAUAUAUAUAUAUACUGUACAUGUGAAUGCUGCAGCUGUUGUUAAAAUAUGAAACCAGUCAGUUCUCAGAAUCUGUGUCAGAAGGUCAAUGGGAUCAGAUCUUAGCCCAGAACCCAAUGCACCUGGAGUCCAAAGUACUCAAAUUGCUAAAGCAUAGAGUGCUCCUCAAACCCAAUCUCAGAAGGGGGACUACAGUGGUGAUCUGUAGUCACCACUACAGAAGUGGAUACGCAGAAAGAUUAAGGACAGAACUGGAUCACUCUCCAAUGCAGUGGAGAUUUCUGAUAUCAUCUGGAGACAACACAUCAAUCAUUUGAGGACAGCAGAGUCACUUGUUAGAGAAGGAGGUAGCUAUGGCUGUCAGAACCACUUCCAGGGGCUCAGAGUCAACUCCACCACCAGAGAAAGCCCCAGAACCUGAGGUUGUUUCAAAGCCACAAGCCUCACCUGCUAAGCAGGGUAACCCCCCUUGUCAGGAAAGACAUUAUCCCACAAGAGUAAGAAAUCCUCCACAACGAUUAAUUGUUCAGGCCUGAAUAGGACAAUUUAAAAAUUACAAUGCUAAGGAUGUCUUUAAAUAGUAGUGGUAUUAUAUCAUAUACUGUGUAUAUGCAGAAGGGAUUUGGUUUUAUUUGGCAUUGUGUUCAGUGAAGAUAUUGUGGGCCCAAGACCUUAUUCAUGCAAAAUGCUGAUGGAACACAGCAGCAUUUUGUGUGUGUUGUUGUUUGAAUUUCCAGCAUCUGCAGAUUUCCUCAUGUUAGACCUUAUUCAUGUACUGUUCUGUUCUACACAGUCACAGAACACCACAGCACAUAAACAUGCCCGUAUCCAUCACUUCCACUGCAGCCCAUCUAGUGAGUGCCAGGCUGUGUUUCUGCCCACCAUACCCCUCCCUUCCAUGUAAUAAUCCAAUUUUCUAUGAAAUGUUGCAAUCGAACCCAUAUCCACUACUUCUGCUGCAGCUUGUUCCACCCUCACAUCACCUCUGGGUGAAGAAGAUCCCCCUCAGAUUCCCAUACGUAGUUCAUCUUUCACCCUUCAUCUAUGACUACAGUUCUAGUCUCACCCAACCUCAGUGGAAAAAGCCUGCUUGCAUUUCCCUAUCUAUACCCCUCAUAAUUUUGUGUGCCUCUAUCACAUCUCCCCUUGUUCUCCCACGUCCCAGGGAAUAAAGUCCCUACCGGACUGAUAGUGUAGUAAGGAUUGUGUUGGCAAAGCUCUGAAUUGAAGGAACCUUGAAUUCUCUAACAGAGCAAGCCUUCCUACACAGGAAGUCAGUAUUUUGAGAACGGGACUAGACCGGAUGAAUAAUUGAACAGUUUGCUCAUUUAAGGUGGAAUUGAAUAGAGGAAUUUUUAUCUCACAAACAGUUGUAAAUCUUUUAGAUUUUCUGUGUCGGAGAUUUACAAAGGCUAAAUGAUUAAAGUAGUUCAAAGCAAAAUUAGAUGGGCUACAGGGCAGUCAAAGGUUGUUGGUUUCUUGUUUGUUACAAGAAAGACAUCAGUAUCCUGAAGAAUCCAGACAAGAUUUACAAGGAUGCUGCCAGGACCUGAGGACAUGAGUUACAAGGACGGGUUGGGCAAGCUAGGAGUUUAUUCUUUACAACAUGGAGGAUUGAGGGAUGUCGGUUUUAGUGAAUUCUGCUGGGACCUGCGUAGGGUAACAUAAUUGGUGGAAAUGUACAGAAUUCACAACCACCGACAUGGGAUUGGAGUUCACUUAAAGAGGCUGGUCUGAUGUGAUGAGGUAAUUACAUAAAGGACUCUUACCACACUUUGUGUUCUGUUUUUGGUGUUCAAUAGAUAAGUUGUUAUGAUUUUUCUUAAAACAUAAUAUGCCUCCACCAUUUUAUUUGUGAAAACUUACAACAGUAUCCCACCUAAUGGUUAAUCCUCAUUCAUCACAGUGAGGUUGCAUUACCAUAACACCACCUGUAUUAUCUUAUUAGAGUACAACAGCAUCUACAUUUCAAAAGCAAAGUUCUUCAUGAAAUCCUAAACACAAGAAAAGCAUGAUACAGAUGACACCCAAUACAUCACGGGCACAUCCUCUCCACCACGCACAGCAUCUACAGGAAGUGCAACAUCCAUCAUCAAGGACCCCCACUGUCUGGGCCAAGCCAUCUUCUUGCAGCUACCACUGAGCAGAAGGGACAGAAGCCUGAAGUCCCACAUCACCAUUUUCAAGAACAGUUUCUUCCCUUCAACCAUUUGGCUCUUGAACCAACAUGCAUAACCCUUGUACUGCCUCAUUAUACCUCUACAAUAGAUUUUUUUUCUCCCCUUCACCCUGUUGCUACCCUCUGUGGCAACCAGUGGAAUCCUGGGGAAGAGGUGUUGAGGGGUAGAUCACUGUUAAGUGGUUAGAAAGGCUACGAUUAAUACUUCUCUGUGUUUCUACUGCUUCAUAAUGACAGACCCACCCAACUCUGAAAGAUGGAGGUACAGGAGGUACAAAAGCCAGAAGUCCUACAUUGUCAGGUUCAAGAACAGCUAUUUCCCUUCAACCAUUCAGUUCCCAAACCAACCAGCACAAUUCUAAUCCCUGCCUCAGUAUAACAAUACUAUGACCACUUUGCACUCCAAUGGAUUUUGUUUUCCUUUUGUUCCAAUUGUGCCCUUUCUUAUAAAAUCUGUAUUCUUAUUUAAGUUUUUCUUGCCAAUACUGCCUCUCUGAUGCUCCGUGCCUGUGGUGCUGCUGCAAGUAAGUUUUUCAUUGCACCUGUGUAUACACGUAGUUGUACAUAUGACAAUAAACUCCACUUUGAUUUGCAGUUUUCUCUCAGCUAUCCAGCUUCCAUUGGCAAUUGUUAAUGCCAGAUGCAUGAGAAUUUCUCAAGAAUAUCCCAUAUGAAUUCUAUUCAUAAGCUUUUAAAUAAAUUGCCAAGUUAUGUGUC